CCUUUAUAGAGUGUUCCUUUUUUUUUAAUGCCAAAGAUCAUCACAGAAUUUUCUCUUUACAUUUCUAGAUGCUCUUAAAGUCAGCCAAUCUGUUAUCUCCAGUUGAUCAAGCCAGACGGUUUUUUAAUAGGAAAUUAAAAAAAAAUCUGUUUAAUAUGCACAUAUCAUAAUUUUCAUUAAGCAAAAUAAUCAGAGGAGGGUCUGUAAUAUUGGCAUUGCUGCAAACAAAUACUGUGGUCCUAAUUCUUUCUGUUUGACACUAAAAUUCCUGAAGUCAAUGAAGACAUUAGAAUAUAAUUAAGCAUUAAUUAUUCUAAUUAUAAAAAUAAUGUAAACGACAUAAUUUUUCUUUUUUUCAGUAUGAUAGAUCUUUGAGCAAUCAACCCAAAUUUUGGUUUUUACAGAAUUUAUUGAAGAUGGGAUUUUCCCCAUGAUUCUGACCUAUUGGAAAAGGCAAGAUUUAAGAGAUGCUGUGAAGAUUCCCCUGCCCCAUCCCACCUGUGUGAACUAAGGAAGGGUUGGCUGGAAUUGCUGCCAAGGAUGUGUGGAACAGCCAGGAUCCAUCUCUCCUGGGUUUGACUGAGGAGUCCAACCCACCCACCCCGGGCAGCACAGGGGUUUACACCACUGUGAUGUCACUGCUACAACCACCUCACCAGCAGAAACAUCAAAAUCAAGUUUUCAGUGAUGGUCUUAACCAGUUCCUAUUCUUCUGCCUAGAAUUUUGCCCGUGACUAUUUUGCCUUCCAAUACUCCCCACACAAGUGAUUUUUGGUAAAAAGGUAAGAUCAUGCUACUCUCAGGGGUACAAAACCUGCCAAAAUCAGCCAAAGUAAUUGUUACUUCUUUAUUCCAGGCCCCACAGUCCAUUAUUUACCGUAUUUGUCUUACUUAAAGUGAGCACAAUGCUUCCUUUCCAGAUACAAAAGCAAUGAAACCAUGAUCUAAAUUAUUGCAUCUAAAACAAACAAAUAUGUGUUAUUUUUUGUUCCCAUUUUCUUUCUGUGUCUAUCCCACAUCUCCAUUUACUAAUUUAUCUAUUUCUUUUUUCAAUUCACUUUUUAAAGUCAUUUUCUUCAUGUAGUUGGGCCCCUUUGAGAGACAAAUUCUAGCUACCAUCAGUUCUUAAUAUUCUAGAUUGUGUUUGCC
rnacentral:lncRNA from 1 species